rnacentral:rRNA from 1 species
AAAUUGAAGAGUUUGAUCAUGGCUCAGAUUGAACGCUGGCGGCAGGCCUAACACAUGCAAGUCGAGCGGCAGCGGGAAAGUAGCUUGCUACUUUUGCCGGCGAGCGGCGGACGGGUGAGUAAUGCCUGGGAAAUUGCCCAGUCGAGGGGGAUAACAGUUGGAAACGACUGCUAAUACCGCAUACGCCCUACGGGGGAAAGCAGGGGACCUUCGGGCCUUGCGCGAUUGGAUAUGCCCAGGUGGGAUUAGCUAGUUGGUGAGGUAAUGGCUCACCAAGGCGACGAUCCCUAGCUGGUCUGAGAGGAUGAUCAGCCACACUGGAACUGAGACACGGUCCAGACUCCUA